GAUCCCGUUCCGUGGUUCGUUUCAGGUCGCGUUUGGUGUGACUUGAUUUUGAAGGUUUUGUGUGUGUCUGUAUGCAACCACUUUCUUCUACCGAUCGAAACUCACUCCUGUCUAAUAACGCUCGAGUGAACUCCUCGUUCUCAGGAGGACGACCGAAACCGAAACGAAGAACUAAAAAAAGUCCAUUGGAGUGUCACGUGCGAUUACAAAGUCACACUUCACUAAGCUCACGACGCGCUGUCGAGACAUGGCGAGCCUCAGAACAAGUUGAUUAUGAAAUGGUGCGACAAGAUCGCACAACAUAAUAGUGUGAUGUCCAUUUCACACACCCAGAAAGCUUGUGUGUGAGGUCGCCCGUGAGGGAACGGUUAGACGCUGUUGUGCUGUUGUGCAAGGGGUGGGAAAACACGCUGCGUUUUAAUUCUGUACAGAGCCCGUGUCCGCGAUAGUGUCAUUUUGUACGGUGCACGAACUCGUUAUGUUUCCGCUUGAUCUUUCUGCUUUGCUGGGCUGGUUCUUUGGAACGGGCUCAGCUCUGUCAGGUUUAAUUCGCCUCAGCGAGGCAACAGAAGUAGUAGUGGUGGCUUGUGCUUCGUCCGUCACCAGCGUUGGCACUUAAUGGCACCCUGCAGGUACGUCGGUAUGCUUACGAAGGGCUGGCUACCAACCGGGUGGGUAACAUGGACGUUACACGGCGGCCCAUAAACCACCAGGAUCGGUGGAGAUACACUGGCGAUCAGGUCCUCCGUGAGAACAGAAAAGGAGAGUUUUAAAGCGAUAUAAAGCUGUCGGCUGGUGUAAGUUAUGUAGGAGAUUUUACUAACUUAUUUCAUUGCAUUAAGUUUAUUGGUUAGAUUGUUUAAUGGGUGUAUCGUAUAAUUAUUCUAACGUUGAUAAAAUAAAUCAAAUUAAUGGCCUAUUUACAAGAUGAGUUUGUUUUUAAAUGAGCAUACUAAAUUUACAUAAAUUUCGUCCCUGAAAUGUUGGCAAAAAGAUGGUUUGGAUGCUUAUUUAUGGAUUCACAUUUUUAGCAACGACAUUAAUGCGCAUGUGUGAAAUGUGGAAAGAUCCACAGUGAUCCAUAUUCAGAUCGUUUACAAGCAAAAAUUUCUCCCAUUUUACCUCCGAAAGCCACAGCGAAGCCACUACACCAGUGAAUGUAAAAUGUACACCAUUAAUCCAAGCUCAUACAUAACCCAUCAAGCUUAUCAGUAGUCACUACAUCGACACCAAACAUUGGGCCCGCAAAGUGGUUGAGAAGCUUGGCUAGGGGGUGCAGCGGUCGUAGAGGUUUCGUUUGGUAGUUUUAUUUUUGCUCGAGUGAGUUUAACACUGAUUUGACAUUUUGCUCCAAAUGAGCAAACAUCCGUGGAGAAACGGGAAAGUGUGUUGUUGUCGCGCCCUCCUGGUGGUGUGUCAUCCACGUUCGUUUUGUUAUCGCUGGAAAAUAAAAGCUGCCUCAGUUUGGCGAACUUUUAUCAUGUUUUGCUAAUCGCUCUGCACUUCCGGUGUGCAAUUAAUAUUAAUCACUGGAUGGAAAUAAACGGACAAAAUGCAAGCGACAAUAAUGCUCACCGUCGUCUCUUGUUUUACUUUCGAAGCUGUAAAUAAAGUCAAACGCGUUCAGUGGUGUCAUGAACUGUAGGUACGGUGGUUUUGAUAAAUAAAUAAGCAGUAAAAUAAAUUAUACGCCCUUGGGGCGAAUCUUAUCGUGGUGAAAGAUUGGCGCACUUCGCUGAAAUAGUAGUUGCUAAAUAUUGCAUUUUUGAUUAAUCACACCUUAUCGCGAUGGUAGCGAUCUGUGUUUACCCUGUCAUGAUGUUUGAUGUUUUGGGAAUAUUUUCUUUUCUUCGAUGUCAAUCUACGAAUCGGUCGCACCCUUGUGGCAUAAGAAAGUAUAACCUCUUCAUUUCACGCCCCUCAUCGCGUGGAUAAGAUUCUGCCGAGUGAUGGAGUGGUGGGGGUUUUCCCCUCUUUAUUUAUGUGCACGAAAAGGUCCUCCUUUUGCAGCAUAAUUCACGCGCGAUGUCAUUCGCAUCGAGAUGCGAAAUGACACGCCGAUAGAGGUCGGUAAUUAUCUGCACCGUUUCAUCUUUGCUCCGCGCCCAUUUUUCCUACGGUUGCUGAUGAAGAGCGCUGGGAUAUAGUGGAGAUAGGAGAUAGGAGACAGGAGAGAGAGAGAGAAACACGGUGCAAAUACUCAUCCAUUGUACCGGUGGUGUAGCAUCUUGCAAUCUCAGCGAGGUAAUGCUUGACGUAAAAUAAUGCCUGCAUAUCGAGACGGCUGUGGAUGCAGACGACCUCUGCCUGCCUUGGAUGGCUUGAGUAAUUAUGUGUUCGGUGUAGGUUUAUAGGUAACAUGGCUGCAUUCCUUUCCAUGGGGUGAGAAAACUGUGCUUUCAUGCAUUCUGGGUCGCGCCAUAAUGUUGCAUUACGGUUGGCUGGAUAUGUAACUUACUAUACACUGAAGAAUGUUGUAAAAUGGAAUGAAUAUAAGGAAUUCGUUCAAUAUUUAACUGUACAAUGGUUAAAAGCGAUCUCUUGAACAAACACAGUUCCGGUUGUAUAUUUGUUACAAAUUAUCUCAUAGUCAGAUAGGUUUUAGAAGGCUAUCCGUCACUAAAUUCAUUUGCUACUGUUGCUAUUUACUUCUUUUUCUAUUCGAUGGUCACAAUAUUGAUCGGAACGUUCAAAUUCGAGUUCCUCGCGUUUACCACCGUUGAAGUCUUUUGUUGAAUUGCUCAGAGUGGUCGCUAACGAUCCACGGCAAUAACACAAUGAGGCACGACAGUUGACGGAAAUGUGAUCGUGGUCUCACGCACAAUUACACAUGUUUCGUUACGAUUUCCCAUGUUUCAUUCCCUCCCCCCGGUGACAAUGUCUUCGAGUGAGGUCGCUGCAUGCGGUCACUUUCUAUGCGUACUUCACUGCUGCCCCAUAGCAAUGAAACUUCUUUCACCGUGUCCGUGUCGGAAACUGGGAAAACCUCACAAGUAGUCGAAUUACAUCCGCGAACGAACGCUCUUGUAUGUCGGAUUAAAUGAUUGCCAUACAUACGUAAUUUAUUAAUUAUCUUUUUGCCCUCGCGGCGAUCAUAACUGGAUCAUCCAGCCAGCUUUGAAAUGGCUUGAAGCGUCUCCCAGGCGGUCGUUUUGAUGUUCCAAGUGGUUCACAUGUGCAUGUAUCGUUUCUCGCUUGGGACAUAAAUUUAUUCUCCUCUCUGUAGUGGUCCUGGUGACAUCUUACGUGGGAGUUGAAUAAGUUAUCGAAAGAAAAGAGCAAAGCAUUGAAAAGAUUGACUUAAUUAUUUCAAAUUAGCCUAAUCGAUGAACCGGAAAUAGAUCACCCGUGUUAGCGUGCCUACAAUUCUGCCGCCUUUCCUGCCCCUUCUGGGCUGUGCAAUGUGACUUUGCUUCGGCGGCUGUGCCAUUUUCAAUUGACCAACCAUAUCCAUUUCACCUAUGCAUAGCUGUGUGUGUGUGUGUGUGACUUUGAACCUCACCCUCGUAUCCAAUCGUUCAUCGCUCGAUCGCAUUGCGCUCGGAAAAGUCAAAAGAUCAUUCGUUCUCUAAUUAUUUUCCACAUAAUUGCGCCGGGUCCGGUUGGUUUGUUCGUUAAUGUCGCCGUCUUGCUGAGCCGGGCGGAAUGAAUUGCACACGGCACAGUUUUUUUUUCUGCGCCCGCGACCGAUGGAAAUCGCUUUCAGGUUGAGCUUUUAUUGAACCGUCUCCAGUGUCAUAGUUCCCUUACCCCUCCUGCCCGGUAUCAGUGCCACUAGGGCUGCGGUAUGUGAGCACAAAGUAAAAGUAAUGACAGCAUGGCAAUAGAAUUAAAAUAUAAUCCCACCCACCCAAUGCAAUGUAGACGCACAGGGGAAGCGAAGGGUGGAUUUCUCCUGGGAAAGCAUGGCUGUCAGCCCGUGUUGUGUGUAUGUGUGGGUCAGAGAUAAAACGGAGCAAACUUCGGACUGCAACUACGGCUUUCGGUUUUAAUGAUUGUUGACAGAUCGACGGUGUUUCCGUUUUUAUCAUGUCAGAAUGAUUUACUGCCGGGUGAAAGAAGCGGCGGUACGGGCGCAUUUCACCACAGGGAGGGGGUUUUGUUUUUACUAGCGUCGAGCGCACCUAAACCUUGAGCGCCUUUGUGACCGUUUGGAUUGUGCAAUCGCGCGUUGAAUAAUGUCUUCGAUGGCGCUGGGGUAUGGUUUUGUGGAAGCUCUGGUUUCACCGCAUUUGUCAAUUCUUUAAUGUCACCCUGUGCGCGGUGUAAUCCAGGAAAUGGUUGGAUGAAUUGAAAUGUUACAAAAUGAAAGACCAUUUGCAAAGCCCCCCAUAUAGUGUUGCUGCUGGCGGGUGGCAGUUUGUUUGCUGAGGAGCGCAAGCUUUCCCAUUCACACCGGACACAGCGGACGCUAGCAGACCGCUGGGACGCUCAUCUCACGGACUGUCAGAACGCUUGACACAUGAUCGGUUUAUGCUUGGUUAUUAAGCUAUUCCUUCGCUGCAUUGGUCGUUGGCACAUCGUGGCCAAAACACGAGCACGAUCACGAUCUCUUCCCUGCUCUGCAACGAAGGAAGCAGCGAAACCUGGCAUUCAAGACUGGCUGGCUGACACACGGACCACGGAGAGGCGUAUGCAUCAAUUAAAUGGUCGCAAUCGUGCCCAAAAUUGCAAAUCGAAUAGAAGUGCAAUGGUGUGGAAGGUGGUGGAACGAUUGAAGCAAGGGAGUGCCGUUCAAAUGGUUGCUCCCCGGUGGCUAAUGAUGGGCACAAUUGACAAAGAUUGUCCAAUUGGUUUCUUCUCGCCCGUUGGAAUUUCCAUGGAAGGGGAAUGGUACAAAUGGCAGAAAAUCGAAUGGGUUGUUAGCUAAAGCAUGUUUACUGAAAUGUGUGGAGUAUUGGUAUUGGGUGAAUAAACAAGUUGUGAAAGAAGGUUUUUGAUUUCAUUCCUUAAUUGAAUGAACUUUGUCAACACUAGUAGGAAAAUCUUAUGGAGUUCCACGUAGAAAUUGUGUCGUUUCUAAAAGAUAUAUCAGUUUGAUCUACUAACUAGGCUGUUAUGGCACUUUCACUUGUAAACUAGCCCUGCGAGUUAAUUGGCAAAGCACUGCUAGCAAUGCUUGCGAACGUGUUCAUAACCUAGGGAUUGGAUUAAUUACAACGUUUUAAAAUCUUUGCACGUGCUUGCUGCUCCGGAUUUGAGCGCAAUGGUGUACAAUUACAUUUUUGAACAGCUCGAUCAACUGCUUGAUCAAUAUAUCAUGUAGCUGCGGUGUUGAUAUAUUUCCCAAUAAUAAUUUAUGCUGUUCAGGCCACACCACACCAGGGGUGUCUUGUACACGUCCACAUCGGGGAGGAGUAAAGCAUCCAGUAUCCACCCAUUGUUUGUAGUACCUACUCAACCAUGUCCCAGUCGUAUCGGGAAGGAUAAAAUCGAUCAAGAAAACGGGGCACGCAUACGCAAAGCACACCACCCACGGUAGAUAAUCUUGAGCGCUCUUGGGAAGUGCACUUUAAUUACUUCCUAUCAAUCCGGUACCAUCUACGAGGACGGCUCGAGCACAGCGUAUCGAACGGAAAGAUCAUCGAGCAUAAAACAUCCAAACUGCACGCUGGGGAUGUCCCGAGCGUGUGUGUGUCGCCUGUUGGGAUACACCGGUACACAAUCUCAGCAUGGGACAAAUAUGUCAAACACAUCUCGGAUCAAGUUAUGAUGGCACCUUUUGAUGCAGGGCGAGGGACCUUUUUCUUCUUCCUUCCAGCCAUCUCUCGAACGCGGAGACUCAUUGCUAUUCCACCGACGAACGCGGUGCGCGCGUAGCCUGUUGUUCGCACUGUGUGACUGGCUGUAGGAAUCAAUGCACCUCUCGAUGCCAUGCCGUCGUCGCACGUGCAUUAGUGAUUGCGAACGGCCUGGUUACCUCUCAACCAGACAAAACAUACUUAUUAUGGUUCAGCAACAGCAGGACACGCUCGUCGGCGGCGGCGGCGUUGCGUCCGAUGGCUGACAACGUGUUUCUUUUCUAAUGAGCACCGGAGCACAGUUUCGCCCGCUAUAGGAGGAUAGGAAAAUUAUUGCCUUGCUAAGGGUGUUUCCAUCGCGCUAGACCGUGGCUGAUUGCUGAUCAAUAUAAAAAGGGCGGAUUAGUGCGGCAGCGAGAGCGAAAGGGAAGCAGUGGAGGGAAAUUAAUCGGAUCCACUAAUCCGCACGGGGCCACCCAACACAAACAAUGGUACAACGGUUGUUCGGGUGUGGAUGCGAUGGGUACGAUCACAGUCAUCAGGGCCGGACGGAUCAGCAGGCUUCGGAGUUGAAUGUUCUGCAAAUGCGAAAGUGUAGCGAAGCAUAUGGCGAGCUGUAAUUAAAAUGUGUCAGAAUAUUUAUUAGUCUAAUUCAAAUUAUAGUUUAUAGUUACGCUCUCGCUGCCGCACUAAUCCGCCCUUUUUAUAUUGUUUGUUAGUCGGCUUUGAUGUACAUUCGCACCAGAGAGUGAUGCAGAAAUGAAUGAACGUUAGGUUCGAAAUUUAUAUAGAAAGUAUUGAACAGAGGCUAGAAAGUACAAUUUAUUGGAGAUGCAAACUUUGUAUCGUUGUGUUUAUUUCUAUGCGAAAACAAUGUAUUGCAACAAGUAUUACAACGAUUACAAAAUCAUCGAUAAACUGUGUUACUGUAAUAAGGAGAGGAUUUGUGUGUAGAAUGCUAAGUGCACUCUAGCUUCUCCAAUGCAGUUGCAGCCAGGCGAGCCAUAUGCUGCUUGUUUCAUACCUCCUCCAGCAAAGUGCAUUAUCAUAAGAUGGUGUAAAAAAUAUUGUAAUGUUCACUGCGCUUCAACGAAGCUGGAUGGCGAUUGGAAACCAAGGAAACAGUUGUUUUGAUAGCAGAAAAUCAAGUAUCGAAAAGAGUCUUCUCUUUCUCUGUUUCCCUUUAGUGCUUCUUGAUUGAUUUCACUAUCGAGACUACACUCUACUGCACUCUGGCAAUUAAGAAUUCGCAUCUCGUGCCAGCUGUCGGCGGAAGAAGAACUGCUUUCACCGAGCAAAACAUCUCACACCAGCGACGACUAUCCAUACCAUAUCGGGGAAGAUCUUUCCAAAGAUGUCUCGGUGGAACAAAGUCUAGACAAAUCACAACCGCAGCGUCGGCGCACGGGUGAAAUGAUUCAUUCAAGAUGAGGUGCACAAGAUCUUCUCAUCAUCCGGCUGGGGAUCUCGCCGUACGUGCGUGCGUGUAUCUGGUCCCGCUGAUCGCACUAUCUCUGCUUGUGGUGCAGCUGUGUGCAGCUUGCAUGCAUACCCCGUCCAGAAAUAGAAUCCACUGCUCACCAACUCUCCGGCAGAACGCUGUCUGAACGUCCAAAAUGGCCCAGGCCCAUGUAGCUGGUGUCCCGCAAGCGUGGUUAGCGUGCUUGGAAUGACAUAACCGAAGCAAGUGUUGGAAGAGGCUAGAUGCGCGCGCCACUACCACCGCUACAGAGACCUAUUCAGCGUGUGUGCACCCGAUGCACUCAAUUGAGUCAGCAUAUUAGCAUUCUGAGUGCAGCAAACGGCCGUUCGGGUUUAUGUUUCGCGCGUUUCCGUUCGCCUUUUGCUGGUUUCGUUUGCUCCCGUCGGUGGCUAAAUUUAUGCGCUCGAGUCCCCAAUCUUGCAGUCUCUGGGUGAGCUACUAAGGCGCGGUGCAGAGCAGUCGGGGCGACCACGAGAUGUAAAAUAGCAUAAUCGUUUCGCGCUUUGCAUCGUUUGGUUUUUGGUGUGCGCCAUGUUCUUGCACGCGGUACGGUUAUGUUGUCUGUUGGGAGCGUGCGUUUGGUUUUGUGCCGGUAGCAUAGAAAUAGACAUAUUUUUAUCGUGUGUCUUGGCGAGUAGCAAACGGACAAGUUGUUGCACCUUCACGUUCUACGCAAAAAACGCGUGCAAUUCAAUGCAAAUGAGUAAAUGUUGAAUCAGGUGUGUGGGAGCUCGAUGUCCGAUGCUUUAUUUACUUGUUUGUUGGAAAACAGUGUUCAGUGUGUUUAUUAAAACACAAUCUGCACAAUCGUGCUUCAUAUUUUUGUUUAUUUACUAAUGUGUUGCUUCGUGCAGUCAUUUUUUUAUAACUUAUGGCAUCGGAAAACGAUUUGUUUGACAUGACGCACGGCUAAUAGUACGAUUGGUCUUGGAACAUCUGACUGCAUCGUGCACUAAUUGCUACACGAUCCUACCGAAAAGCAACUAUCUAUCCCUGGUUCGAGGCUAAUCUUUUGUCAGCUGUCACGAACUGCGAGUGAGUGAGUUGAUUGUACCGUGUUUUUGAAUGAAGGGAAUGAACUGAAAAAGAAACGCAGUAAUCCGUUCUCUCCUGACAGGGAUGCAAUAGACAUAGAAAAAAUCCCUACGUGGGUAGUCAUCGUUUAAAUCUCGGAUCAUAAUCGAACAUCAAUUAAAUUUCCUUUCUAUUUCACUCACGCGCUGGCAUUGUUAUUGACUCUUUCUUCUUUUCUCUUCUACUUGUAGGUAAGUUCGAGCAAAACAUGUUGCAGAGACUGUCAACGAUGUCGUGGAUACUUAUGUUAAAUCAUUUGUAAGAGUUUAUGUUACGGUAUUUGUGUUGUAUUUAUAUAUCCUACUGAAGAUACAAGUAAACAAAGCAGAAUUUGAUAAAGCAUUUAUUUUACAAAGCAAUAUGUAUGCAGCAUAAUCUUUAAUUGUAUCGGGACUAAUUAUAGUUACAAUUAGCUUCCGAUUCGUGCCUCGACGCAACGAGCAAACAACCAACGAGAGCAACGAGAAAGGGAGCUGACGGCGGUUUGAUUAUGAGGCGCACACAUACCGAUGCCUCAGCAAAAAGGCCCUUUCACCUGUCCCGUUUGAUCCAUUCUGCGAAAAUGGUUGUCCACUCUGUCCAGGCAAAUGCAAUGCACCCAUGAAUCAUCGGAAGAAAAAUGUGAGGCGCACGUGUUUGUUGUGUUUUCCGGCGACGAGAAAAGAAUCGUCGCUGCGCUUUGGCGCUUGUCAUACCACAACAGCGCACACCAUUGACAAUUUGGUGAAAGGAGAGCUCUCUUCUGUUGUCGCCAGUGCUCUUGGUGAUGAAAUCAAAGCAAACGAGCAGAUCCCUGGCCCUGGCAGUCACACGAGCCGAGAGCCGUGUGUAGUGGACGAGGUUUUGAAUGAAUGCAUCUCUCGGCACUUGUUUGCGCGCCGGGCGGAAGGAACGCAAGAUGGAUUGGAUUCAGCCCUCAGCGAAUGACGUGUUAGUUUCCCUUUUCCUUUGGGGUUUUUUUUCGAAACACACUCCUAGAUCUAAAAAUAAUAAAAACGAAAAAAGUGAAAGAGCAUAAAGAUGCCAUGGGCUGGAGAUUUUCCCUUUUUCUGAUCAAUAGCAACGUGUUGCAUCAUAGCCCGCUGGAGGUUGAACGAUUGAAAAGGCUUUGCACAGUAGCAUGUACAGGAAAUUAUGCACUAUUUUGCAAAUCCCGUACCGAAAAGUGUAUUUGCAUGUGUGUGUGUGUUUUCAUCUGUGGCCGUUCUUGCUCGAUUGGCGUUCCUCGCUUGGUAUGGGGUAACAUCACCUUUCACUUUUGCAACGAAAUCAGUCGCAGCGGUAAAUAUUUUCCUUUUGGUCGGCCACACUAUGGGGGGGGGGGGGGGGGGGGAACCGUUUGAUUUAGGCUGGCAGGAAUUUGGGCAGCUUUAUUUUCGUACAUCGUCUUCUCGAGCGCUCUCUCUACAGUGCUCGAGGAUGACAAGCAAGUGGGAUGAAAUGCGUUUUGAUGGAAUGUUUGUCCGGUUGGGAAUGCACCAGGGAGAGAGGCUUUCGAGAUCAGUUUGGCUGUGGUCGGAUAAAUCUAAUGACGGAGCUAUUGUGCUGGAGAAAGGGUGCUUAUUUGGAGUGUGGUGGAUGUGGCAACAUUUUAUGGGCGACCUUGAAAUUUCGAUCUACGUUAGAGUUCAGUUUCACUUAUGGGGAAAUAAUAUCAUUGAAUGAUUCUUCUGUGUGUGGAAUAAUUCCGUAUAAAUAUUUUCGACUCCAAGCCUAGCGAGGAAUACGCUACUUUCUCCCAACAAUGUGUACUUUGGCCAAACGAACUAACCCGGAAGUGCACAUAUUUUCACUCGCAGUUUAUGCACUUGCCUCGUCUUUUACUGUGUGUUUCAGUGUGAUCUACCCUACACGAAUGUAGCAUAAAUGUGUUUUGGGUGUUCUGAGAUGUUUGCACCCUCGUAAUAAUACGUCCCGCGGAUCAUGUUUCGGACGUGAUGACAUAAUGAAAACAACGAACUCCGUUCAGAAAAACAGCCGCGAAAUGAUUGUCAAUGUUAACAAGAUUUUGUUUUUUGUGGUCUAUGAGUUUUGUAGAACAUGGCAGAGUGAAAGAAAACAAAACAUUCCCUGAAGGAUGUAAGAAGCCGGCGGAGGAGAAAACACCCACUGCAUCCACUGGAAGGUACCAGCGGUAAACUACGAGAAACUCUUCAUCGAACGUCACACGACUCGCACACGGACGGAGCCGAGCCGCCGUUCCAUCGUGUUUUGCGGUGCUUCUAUAAAUCAUAAAACAUCUCAUGUGUGGAAAUAAAUAUAAUGAUGAAAUGAAGCAAGUGAGAAGAAGCCUCGAAAAAAGAGCAAUGGCAGCAGUAAGGAAUCACGCUCAUAGAUCCCCUCCAUUCCUCAUCAUUGGCCGUUAUGUGUGAUGAAGGUUGGUGUUGCGGUGAAAUGCAGAGGUUUGCAAAAACUCUGAAAAAGAAGUUCCAAAACCGCUACCAUCGAUGCAAUCGGGCUUUUUCUUCGAUGCGAAUCGGGGAAGAGCAGUGGUACAGAAUGAAAGCAUGCGAGUGGAAUAUUGGUGGAAAAUUUGCCAAAGUUUGUGUGUGUGUGUGAAUCGAGCUUUUGGCCGGGAGAAAAUGUGUCGAAAGAGGGUAAAGAAAGAUGAGUCAGGCCACAAACGCGACCAAGCGAGCAGCAGCGCGCACACCUGGUGGACUCCUCCGCCGGGGUUGAUUUUUCCUUGCCACGAGGGAUGCGGCGGCAGCUCUUGUUGCUUUUAUUUCGGGCUUCGGUUGGGAUGCUUCACCGACCCGGGCAGAAGCGCCGUUAAUGCCACCGCUAAGCCUUCGCAUUACCGGCAGCGGGAUUUGGGUCUGCUGUGCGGCGGAUGUCGGUUGUGUUCUUUUUCCCUCCCGUUCGCUUCCAUCGCGAAACUGCUGCUGCCGGUGCGGCUGACUUUUGCGUUGGUUCCGCUCACACGGCCGCCACAUACGGUGUUUUCACGUACGGUGUUUGGAUGGAUGAGCUUGUGUCGGUGUAUGUGUGUGUGUGUGUACGCUCAGUACACUUUUUGUUUGGUUUUGAUGCUUCUAAUGCCCAGCGCUGCUUACUUCCGAGCUUGAAGUACAACCAACUCGACAAAGCAAACGGUACAGUUGACGUCGAUCGCACCAGACCAGACUCCGGAGCGACGACUCCGAUUUUCGAACGGUCGUGAUUUUCGUCGACCCAAUUUUGUGGCGCAGAUUCAAUCGAUGAUGUUCCGACGAUUGAUGGGUGGGAUGGAGUGUGGUGUGGAUUUGAAGGAGUGAUGCUGGCUCGUGGAUUGUCCAGCCCAUUCCCAAACGAUUCGGUGGACGGAUCCACACUGCCGGAAAUCGAUAAACGGAAAGUGAAGACUCUAGUGGUGGGCCCCUUUUAUUUCACCCCUUUUCCCAAGAGCACUUUCGGACACUUUCGAUCGAUGGAAGAAGUUUUCGUAUGUUGAUUGCUUUAGGGGGACACUACUGAAAGAGAGUUGAGGGUUUUCGUAACGGAGGAAAAUUUGCAGAUUGCCACUUGAAAGCACCGAAAGCAUCGAGCAGGCAGAGUCUCGCUCAUCAUCCUCAUUAUCGUACAGGAACAGGUGCUCCAGACGACGAAAAAUAACAUUUACCGUAGGAGCGCUUCAAGCAGGCCCAUGAACUAAUGGGUAGAUUACAAAGGGGGACAACUUUUGCAUGAAGUAUGAGUCUCAUCUUGCACUCCAACGUGUCAUGUCCGGCGGGCUCUUGCGUUCGCGACCUCUUGACGGGGCCGGCUCUGGUAUAAAAGGUAGGAAUGUGUAUUGUGAUUGUUUUCAAACAAAACGAAACACUCACUGAAACAUCAAGGUGGCUGGUUCAUCAAUGAAAGGGAAAAUAUCUUUUCGGAGUUUCUCGAUCGUGUCACGUACGGGGUACAGGGAUGAAUGGGUAAUGUUUUGAGAGACGCUUGAAAUAAGCACACCAAGCGUUAUGACGCCAAGUUAUGUUGUUUUUGUUUGUAAGGUGUGUGUCUGUGUUCAACUGAUUUUUUUGGUAUAUUUGCGAAAUCUGGCUUUUUGCUUCAUUGGCGUCAAACGUUAAUUUGUCUCACAGUGCAGACAAUGCGCAACUGCUCUGUGAAGGUAGCGUUCAACACACAAAUAGCUAAACAAUCUUAAAAAACGUGUCCGUUACGCACAAUUCAAAGUCACUGACAACAAGGGUGCGAAAAGACGAUAAUUUUUGCACACAUGCUCAUGUCGCCGUGUCGCGAACGAUUGAGCCGGAAAACGAAUGCAACGCAUCAAAUCACGCGCGUCACCUGGCGCGGCGCGUCAACAGUCAGAGCCAAUAAAAUGUCAUUUACCCUCCCCCACUAAACUAUCGCAUAGUAGAACGGUCAGAACAAGAACCUUGCGUUGGUGCAAUGGCUGAAUGCACUCGCCGAUCGUGGUUGUGUCGGAAUUGUCUGCGAACGCACGCGGGGCAACGGGUGACUUUGGUUGGUGGUUGGUGGUGAUUAGAAGGGCAAAAGGAAGAAUAUCGGCGUAACAAACCAAUAGAAAAAAGGCGAGACUUUCCGCUCGGUUGGGCAACCACCGCAAGCAAGCCAAAGCCAGGAAUGGGGAGAUGGUUGGGUGGGGAAGGCAGUCAAAGACAGACAAAGGCCCAUUGAACCAAGACAUCGGACAAGGAGAGGAACAAAACGGCUGUAUCGGCGGUGGGCUGUGGUUUACGGUGGAUUAGAGCGAAUCGAACGCGUGGUGGUGUGGAGUACGGGAAGGAAUUUCUGGUACAAACCGUGGCCCGUGUCAUAAAACUGUAGAACUAAUUUUUGCCCAUCACGCUCCACGGUUUCCGGCUGGAGGGAGGGCGUUCAAACAGGGUGGUGUUGUUCGGAUUGAUUUACGCAAAUGACAUCAAACGUCGUCGUCGAACGCGAAUGGGCACAAUUGAAGACGAGCUUCUUCUUGUUGCCCAUUGUUUUGAUGGGUCUGAGAAAAGGCCCUAAGAACGGCAUCUAGUCGUCGUUUGGGGUGUGGGGUGUAUGAUGUAUUAAAUGCUAAACCUUCACCCGACGGAUCGAUGUCAGUAGAACACUGAGGAUAGAUUACUACACAGCGUGUUCGCUGCGAUAUUUCCUGCCCGGAAAAAAGGUGUACAGGCAAACGAAAGACACUCAUAAUCCCGGCUUACGGUGACGGGUCUGUCAUCAUGUUGGAAAUAAAAAUUAAAUCCACUGUUUCGAUUCGAAAAUCCAAAACGCUUAGCUGCAUAAAAGCACCACCACCCUCGCCGCCGCGCACCGGGCAGUGGAAAUCGAAAAUCGUACCGUCAGAUAUUUUGAUAGACGUCGGCUUAAGACGGCUUGCGCGACGACGCGGCGGUGCACAAGGGAUGGAAAUAAACAAAUAAAAUAAUAAAAAUACAGCUGACUGCUGCCAGACACGGUCAAGAUUUGUGUAGCUGCCUUUCUCUCGCCACUCUCUGGGAAGUGUUUUGCUCCUAGCAUUGGAUGGAAUACUUCUGGUGGUGUCUCUCUUUCUGUGCCGUUUUCUAUGCGAGAAAAACUAGCUUUAUAGUGAGCGGGAAGCAACAUUAGUGGAGACUGUGAUUUUAUGCUGCGAGUGGUUGGACGGUGAGUUCCAUGCGUACACUGUAAAAUAUUUCUGCUGUCACAAGAAAGUAAAUUUGUUUUAUUUACUUGUUUGAAUUGAAUGAAAUUACAAUAAAUUUAUCAAAUUAUUUCAAUUUACCGAAUCAUUUUGAGUAUUUCAAACAUUCAAAAUUACAUCUAAUUAAAUUAUUUUAAUGGUGUGAUUUGGUGCACUAUAACAUAACUAAAUUGAAAAGCUUUGACUUAUUGUGAUGUCUUGUUUUAGUGCACAAUUUGUAUAGUUCCUUAGACACUUACAUGUCUUUGCUUAAAACCACACAAUAUUGUUUACUACCACACGCUUUUCUAAUGCUCUCCGUGGUGAGUGAAGCCGUGAGUUCUAUGUUGUAGCAUAGCUUUUCGCUCACGGUAACCCUUCUCCAUGCUAUGCUACAAGAUCCACCGUUGUUCGAGUAUGCUGAGCAGGAAAACACAAGAGAGAAGGGAGAGAAAGUGACUAUUUUCAUGAGAGCAUGGUUAAUCCGCGAAGGUUUUUGUUAGCAUCGCCACUACAAAUUCCGAUGGGGUGGGGUUUUCGAUUCACGAGCUAGUUGUACUGAGAAGACUUCACUGGAGAGACUGUAUUGAAAGAGAGUUGUACUACAGCUUGGAAUAGUUUUCCACCGCGUACGUUGGACCUGAGCGCACCGGCUAGUUAAAAUGCUCUCUCGCGCAUGCUGCUCACUGCUCUCAUUCCUUUACAGCGAGUUUUCCGUCGUUGCCGGUGCUCUGAUUUUCCGGUAGAGACACAAAUCUCUCCCCAAACGCGCCUGGCUAGCGGGGAGGCGGACCGAUGUUCACCCACCGUGUGGUCGCUCUCUCUCUCGUUCAAUCUAUGCUGCACUUUCCUGUGGGGUUGGAUGGGCCCCAUAUAAAAUGCCGCCAGCACCGUAAAUAAAACCUUAGUCCAUACUCCAGCCUCGUACCGUGCGCAUUCGUACAGUGGUGGGUUUCUUGCGGUGGUUCAUUUGUGUCUGGUGUUUGUUGUUGUCGUUGUUGUCUGUUCACAUUCCGCCCUAGUGCAGACACGCGGCAUUCGUGGAGUGCAUCGGUGUGCCUACUACGGUUCUACGAUUUUUCGUCCGUGGGUUUUUGUGUGCGCGCAGAACAUUUUCCUAACAACUUACCGGGGGGUUGGGGCUUCUGCAACAGUGGCGCUAUUCGUGUGCUUAUGCCUAUUUGCCUCUACCCCACUCCAAUGAACACGAGCGAGAGUGUUGUGUCUGUGUGUGUGCGUGUUUUUCUGGUGCAUAAUAUCCUUGCAAACGGCGGGACCUAGCCCUGAAGCAAUGUGAAGGACUGCCACUUAGCGAAACUGGCUAGACAGUUGGACCUCUCGCCGAGCGCGCCCGUCUGGCAGCUCGCCCAAAGUCGCGGGAUUAAGCAGCGUUGUUUGUGGAUUGAAUGAAAAUUGUUUUCGCUACCCUUCUUUGGUGUGGCGUUUUUUGUCUGUGCAAAGUGCAAAAAAAAACCAACAUGCAGAAAAGGGAAACGUUUUGUUUGCUUCCUUUAGAACCUGGGGUAAACUCCUGUGCGGGCGAACUGAGAAUCGCAAGACAUUUAGGACAAUGAACUAUGCCUGUGCACGGGUGCAUGCGGUGUGGAACGAUAAUGGUUGAAAGAAUUACGACCGGGAAAACAGGCUCUAGCCAGUGUUGUUGGUGACGGAGCAGUGAAAAUGAAGCAGUGAAUGAAAACGUGGCAGUGUUUUCGUGCUAAGAGAAGCGCCCAGUGGGAUCAACCAAAUCGAAAAGGACAUAAACAUUGAUAGUUUUCUGUUGUCUCGUCUCACAAUUACGGACUCUGUGAGCAGAAGUGGCACUAGGUUAAAUUGGAAACGGGUUUUUUUUUUUGAGAAUCGUUUUUCGGCAGACUUCUGAAGUUAAAUAUUGUCGCUUAAAGUUAAAAGAAAUUACUUUCUUCCUUGAUUAUUGCUUUCUUGCAUAAAACAUGACCGUGAAAUAAUUACGAUUUUUUAUUGAUCGAACAAACUGACGUCCCUCGUCUGCUUCCACAAAGACUCGUCUCGUAUACUUUGGCACGUUCUUUACGUGUUAUCAGAUUCGCAGCAUCCAUAACCUUCACCAAUGCAGUUCACAUUGAGAUAGUAGUUCGGUGGAGAGAGAGAGAUGCCACACUUGCUGCUGACGUCACAGCUCAGAUGAUCCAGAAGCUCUUCCAGAAAUGUGACCGUUCAUUAGCAGCGGGUGGAUGUCGAGCAAGCUUAAAGCUUCUUUCCCCAUCCUGACGGAAGCGAGUAUGCUUUUCUCGCUUUCACUUUCACAUCCUGAUCCUUUUGCCAUCAUGUUCCUGUGCACUGUAAAAUCCACCAUGUUUGUUCUUUUCUCUCCAUUUGUGCACCAUUUCCAUGAGCUGCCUUUGGGAGCCAUCGGAGUUCCGCUUUUGCGCGUUGCGAGCGUUGCGUUAUCUCUUUUACGAAGCGUUCUGCAGCAUCUUUCUCUGUCCGCACCGCUCUGGAUGGAUUCAUUCAUCGACCAUCGGUAUGUCGCAUGUCGCUUGUUUUUGUACCGAGUCGUUUUCCUUCCCCAAGGGUAUCCUGCUUGCGGCUACUCCCUCCCGUGCCCUGGCGAUUGCUCGGUCGCAUGGUUGCACGAUGACUCACUGCGGCAUUCCUGGCGGAAAACGCACACCAAUACUCGCAAAGCAUGGUUGUGUUUGGAUGCUGGCAGACGAUGCUCCAUCUCGUUUCGUUGGUAUCGAUUUCGGGGGAGCUUUUGUUUGUGGAACUAACACUGUGUGGCAGCUCCAAGUCUUGCUGUAAAUCUGUGGUGGGGUGUCCCGGAGGCCUGUGUUCCGUUGUCCCGCCACCGAUGAGCUGGCUCGUAAAAACACAGAAUGAUGGAGAAGACUGCAGGAGCACGAAUGUAGCACACACACACACACACACAUACGGACGAAGCAGGGACUUGAUUUUCCUCGUUCAGUUGACAGUUGUCUACGGAAAGAUGCUUAGCUUGGUUCGCCAUUUUGCUUUAGCUCUGUUUAAGAUAUUCUAAGUAGUGAGGAAAAGUCUGCCGAAAAAGAGUAUUUGCUUUUAGGGCUAUCUUAAGCUUGCAAAAGUAACUUCAAUUCAUUGUUUGUUUGUCUGAAUUCUUUCUCCCUCGGAAAAAAACAA